rnacentral:RNase_P_RNA from 1 species
GCGGAUGGCCGGAUGGCCGCGGUCCCGGGCCUGCCCGGGGACGAGGAAAGUCCGGACUCCAGGAAGCAACGGUGCCGGGUAACGCCCGGCCGGGGAAACCCGAGGGAAAGCGCCACAGAGAAGAGACCGCCUCCGCAUCUUCGGGCGCGGCGGCAAGGGUGAAACGGUGGGGUAAGAGCCCACCGCGGGACGGGCAACCGGACCGGCACGGCAAGCCCCACCGGGAGCAACGCCGAAUAGGGGCCUCGUGCGGCCGGAGCGAUCCGGCCCAGGGCGUGCUUCCGCCCGAGGCCCGGGUUGGCGGCUGGACCCCGGCGGCAACGCCGGGGCGAGAGGAAUGGCCAUCCAGGGCCGGGCUCGCCCGGCCCGGACAGAAUCCGGCUUACAGGCCAUCCGCGCAU